AGCCCCAUGGUGUAGUGGCCAAGCAUACGGGCCUUUGGAGCCUGUGACCGAGGUUCAAAUCAUGUAAUUGCAUUGCAAGCUUUUUUCAAGCUCUGCUUGAAAAAUCUCGAACGAAAGUGAGAGAAUUUCGCAAUGCUCCGCAUGCGAAAAUCCUCGUGGGGCUA
rnacentral:tRNA from 1 species